GAUGAACGCUGGCGGCGUGCUUAAUACAUGCAAGUCGAACGGAGAUAGUAGCAAUAUUAUCUUAGUGGCGAACGGGUGAGUAACGCGUUGGUGACCUGCCCCGAAGAGAGGGAUAGCAGUUCGAAAGGACUGAUAAUACCUCAUGUGGUUGUUGGUUUUAGAAUCUGACAACUAAACGGAUUUAUUCGCUUCGGGAGGGGCCUGCGUCCCAUCAGCUAGUUGGUAGGGUAAUGGCCUACCAAGGCGAUGACGGGUAGGGGACCUGAGAGGGUGGCCCCCCACAAUGGAACUGAAACACGGUCCAUACACCUACGGGUGGCAGCAGUAGGGAAUAUUGGUAAUCUGCGAAAGCGGGAACCAGCAACGCCGCGUGCACGAUGAAGGCCUUCGGGUCGUAAAGUGCUUUUAGAGAGGAUGAGGAAGGACAGUACUUUCUGAAUAAGCCUCGGCUAACUACGUG
rnacentral:rRNA from 1 species